rnacentral:tRNA from 1 species
UUAAUUGAAACCAAAAUAGAGGUGAAUUAUUGUUAAUAAUUCUAUUGAUUAUAUUAAUCCAAUUAAA